GACGAACGCUGGCGGCGUGCUUAACACAUGCAAGUCGAACGGAAAGGCCCUUCGGGGUACUCGAGUGGCGAACGGGUGAGUAACACGUGGGUGAUCUGCCCUGCACUCUGGGAUAAGCCUGGGAAACUGGGUCUAAUACCGGAUAGGACCACACACUUCAUGGUGAGUGGUGCAAAGCUUUUGCGGUGUGGGAUGAGCCCGCGGCCUAUCAGCUUGUUGGUGGGGUAAUGGCCCACCAAGGCGACGACGGGUAGCCGGCCUGAGAGGGUGACCGGCCACACUGGGACUGAGAUACGGCCCAGACUCCUACGGGAGGCAGCAGUGGGGAAUAUUGCACAAUGGGCGCAAGCCUGAUGCAGCGACGCCGCGUGAGGGAUGACGGCCUUCGGGUUGUAAACCUCUUUCAGUAGGGACGAAGCGAAAGUGACGGUACCUACAGAAGAAGGACCGGCCAACUAC
rnacentral:rRNA from 1 species